AAAACUUAAAAAAGAAUAAUUAAAUAUAUUCUAUUAAUUU
rnacentral:tRNA from 1 species